AAACUGAAGAUGGCGACCGGCGCACGGGUGAGUAACACGUAUCCAACCUGCCGAUAACUCCGGAAUAGCCUUUCGAAAGAAAGAUUAAUACCGGAUGGCAUACGAAUAUCGCAUGAUAUUUUUAUUUAAAGAAUUUCGGUUAUCGAUGGGGAUGCGUUCCAUUAGUUUGUUGGCGGGGUAACGGCCCACCAAGACUACGAUGGAUAGGGGUUCUGAGAGGAAGGUCCCCCACAUUGGAACUGAGACACGGUCCAAACUCCUACGGGAGGCAGCAUG
rnacentral:rRNA from 1 species